AUUGAACGCUGGCGGCAUGCUUUACACAUGCAAGUCGAACGGCAGCGCGGGCUUCGGCCUGGCGGCGCGUGGCGAACGGGGGAGUAAUGCAUCGGAACGUGCCCAGCAGGGGGGGAUAGCCCGUCCAAAGCCGGAUUAAUACCGCCUACGACCUGAUGCUGAAAGCGGGGGAGCGAAGGGCCGCUCGCGCUGUGGGCGGCCGACGUCGGGUUAACCAGCUGGUGGGGUAAAGGCUUACUAAGGGGGCGGUCGGUAGCUGGGCUGCGGGGGCGACGAGCCCCUCUGGGGCUGAGACGCGGCCCAGGCUCCUAGGGGCGGCCGCGGUGGGGACUUUUGGCCAAUGGGGGCAACCCUGAUCCAGCCACGCCGCGUGGGGGAAGAAGGCCUGCGGGUUGUAAACCGCUUUUGUGCGGGAAGAAAUCCUCUGGGCUAAUACACCGGGGGGAUGCCGGUACCGGAAGAAUAAGCACCGGCUAACUACGU
rnacentral:rRNA from 1 species